GACGAAGGGGGCUAGCGUUGUUCGGAAUUACUGGGCGUAAAGCGCGUGUAGGCGGUUAUCCAAGUCGGGUGUGAAAGGCCUUGAGCUCAACUCAAGAAAUGCACUCGGUACUGGGUGACUAGAGGACCGGAGAGGAUAGUGGAAUUCCCAGUGUAGUGGUGAAAUACGUAGAGAUUGGGGAAGAACACCAGUGGCGAAGGCGGCUAUCUGGGACGGUUUUC
rnacentral:rRNA from 1 species